rnacentral:misc_RNA from 1 species
UUGAAAAUCCUUUGGAUGUUGCUGGCCCUUUGGGGCAUGUGCACUCUGACUUUUUCAUCUCACCUGUGAACUCAUUGUAGGCUGGGUUUUGUUUUUGCAAAAUCUGUGUCUAUGUCAUUUUAACACACCAACAAAGUCUCAUCAGAAUGUCUCUUUCAGACCUUGAGUGGUCAAAGAAGUUUAAUA